rnacentral:lncRNA from 1 species
UAUUACCUUGAUUUCUGACUCACUACGGAUGAAUUGACGGAUGAGAUGACGUCACAGGGACGGAUUGAGUUUUGUACGUUCGAUGUUUAGGUUGCGGCAAAUGUGAGCUGUAAUCUGUAUACUUCAUGAAACUCCUCCCUACCUCCCUCCUCGUUCUCCAGUGGUCCCACCUGCUGCUCUCUCACGAUAGAGUGCCGGAUGGCGUGGCGUUCAGGCCAGCCGCAAUGGGGCUCCGAACCGACCGCAGGAUAGGAGCUGCUCGCUACGCGCCUUAUGUAGCACAAAGACAGCCUAGAUCUGCAAUACGGAGCCUGCUCGACAGCACAAUUAAAUAUUGACACGUUUUGUACUGAACAAGAUCACUCAAAGCGUCUGACUUUGAUUAUGGAAGACUAGUCAUGCGCACUCAAUAAGUGCAAUGUUAGUUAAAAACACAUGGCAAUAUUGAAGCAAUAUACUGAUUCAUCUAAAAACUGAAAAAAACGAAGCCAUAAGUCAGAACUGCACCACCCAAAACUGCUAUCACCAGACGUUUCUCAACUUUUAAACGGCCAAAGCCACAGAUAAUUGUGGACGAAGCUGUGAUUUUCACUGGAUUCCCUCCUCACGCUCAUAACCCUAAAAAUAACAAUCUGUUCUCCUUGAACCGCAACAGUGUUAUUUUGUCUGCUAAUAUUCCUCAAUAUUUGCGCACCAUGAAAGAUCAGUCAUGACUCUCUUUACAUGGUGAUGAUUAAUAAGGAGCGGUUUUUAAGUCAGGGUGAUAUCAUCACCUCCAUGGGUGGUGUUGGUAUGCGUUUAAAUGAUUUAGAGAAUUAUAUUGCUGAUAUUUACCCCUUUACACUAAAGAAUACAUCAGCAUUCAAGUCAAGUCACAAGACACUGGAUAGUUCGGUUAAUUCAUUGCAUUUACGACAGACAAAACGGAGAUUGUUUUUGUUAGCAGCACUUAUGUUCUACUUGAAAUGACAAGUCUGUGACUAAACCCAGAUAUCAGAUACUCUACAGAGAACAAUCAUCACGCAAACUGAUCGCAAGGUUCAGGGCUUUGUAACAGAACACGUAUUAAGGCAGAUAAUAUACUGGAGCACUUUGUCAAGGAAGCUAAAGGAAAUGUAGCUGAGGAGACGGCAGAUGGGUGAGGUGAACCUGCUCUGCUAGUUUCAUCAAACAAGAGACAUAAAAUUCAUCUCUUUCCAAUAACGCGCUCUCUCAAAGAAGGAUGCCGAGAGAGAGCGCGACUGGGCGAUUGUUUUGUGUAACGUAGAGGUUAGAAACUUUGAAAGUGCUUUCAAAAUGCAACAAAUUUUGUAUUUAAUGUGAUAGUGUUCUGUGUGCCUUUUUCUUCUUUCUUUUAAGUUAAGAUCUUAAAAGGAUCGUUCACCAAACAUUCAGUCUUCAUUUACUCUCCCUCAUGUCGAGCCAAACUUGUAUGGCUGACUUUCGCCUGUGAAACACUUUCAAGCAUCAAAAAGAAUGCAAAAGAACUAUGAGAGUAUCAUGAAAAUGGCCCAAACAGGUUAAGAAUGACAUGAGGGCGAGUAAAUGAUUUUUGGGUGAAUAGUUCUUUAAUAACCUUGUUUUUCAGUUUGAUUCUGUUGGUAUUGUUACAGGACAUAUGUAGACCCAGGUUUUACAAAGGUACAAAACCAAAGUCCCCUCAGAAGUGUUCCUGUAUAAUAACCCCACCGUGUGGAGUUUGGAGCUUCUUGGUCAGCGUUGUAACAGUGCUGUUUUUUUGUUUUGUCAAUCAGUAUAUGCCGGUGAAAAGUAUUAAUAGCAAUAUUUCUUAUGAAUAGUUCAGAAUGAACAGAUUAGUGAAUGUGUUGCCAUAUCAUAAUCACACCUGCUGGCAAACACCAUUCCUUGGACAUCCUACAAUUCUGCAUUUACCUUCAUGGUUGUUGACCACACAUAAGCUAAUGUGCUGUUAAGAUUUCAAAAAAAGAUUUAUUGAACAAAGCGUUUUGUGUGUUUAUUUUCUCUGGUGGGAUUUUCAACAUAACUCAAAUUCACUUGACUGCACUGUUUUUCCAAUGUUUUAUUGUCACUUUUACACAGCAGUAGAACACGGCUACGUUCACACAGACUUCGGUUAUUUUCCGGAGUGACAACAUUUUUAUAACUCACAAUGAACCACAUUUUUGUCAAAAUUCACAAGGGGUCUUGUCACGUCAUACAGUGCGAGAGAUGUGCUUUGUGCUCAGGGUUGCCAGGUUUUCGCAACAAAACCCGCCCAAUUGAUACUCAAAACUAGCCCAAUCGCGUUUGGAGGGGGUUCCCGCGGUAAAAAAAAAAUACUUGCAUUCCGGGGGGUUAAAUACACGUUUUUUCGGCGGGAAUCCUCCAGUAAAUUUGCAUUCCAGUGGCUAAAUAUCAUGUUAUUGGUGUCGCUUCAACCCACGGCAGCAGUGUUAAAGUAGACCAAUUCUGCGGGAAAAACCACAGACUUGGCAACACUGUGCUACACAAACAUCUAGUAUUUCUGUUUUUUUUUUUUUUAAAUGUGUGUAUUCAGUAACUUACAAACUCGCAGAUAUUUGCUGUCUGUUAUCUGAAGGUUUUAGAUCCAGUCAUUGUCUUCCAACGGAUCUCCUUCCAUCAAUUUUGCUUGAUUUUGGGCAAGUAUUCAAAAAUUCUACUCAAGUGAAAGUACAGAUAUUCAGUGAAAAUCUUACUCAGUUAAAAGUAUCUGGCCAAAAGCAUAAUUGAGUAAAAGUAAAAAAGUAUAACUUUAAAUUUUACUUGAGUAUUUUAUUGAGUAUUAUUGAGUAUUCCAAAUAAAUAAAUACAUGAAUAAAUAUAAUAACAGGACAUCCAAAGAUAAUGCUUAAAAAACUACACAAUUACACAGUGAGGACGAUGGUAACCCAAACAACACCUAUUGAUGAAUCAAUGUCGUCUUAAGUUAAAUGAUAGGAGUGUGUAAGAAAACAUAGGCCUACAAAUAUUAGGCUUCCGAAGCGGUCCUGUACACUUGCAUUAUAUGCACACAUUAACCGUCCAGCAUGUUUAGAAUGUUUAAAACAAUUGAAAAGCAGUGUGAUGCACAAAAAAAGCCCCUUACAAACCCUCAUAGAAAUAUUAGAAAGUAUUUCAUGCUACAUCAGUCAAUUAAACAAUACAGUUUUGGUGUGUAAAGGGGUUUGUGAGUUUAAUUAUGUGCAACAAACUUAUGAUUCCCUAUUAGAAUGUUUCAAUUCAUUUGUUCAGCAGAGCAUUUAGAGUUCACUCUCAAAGGAAGCUUCCUCUUCUGCUGUGAUUUUCACAUGACCCUGAGCUCAUUUGUUCUCAUUCACACAUCCAUGUACGUUCUCGCCCUCUCUUUCUCACUCUCACUCUCAUUCACUCAUUCUGAUCACAUAUGAGGCAAGAGCCCGAUUUCCAGACAGCUCACCACACAAGAAUGCUCACAAAUUACACAAGCGGAGAAACUGUUGUUUUUUCCACUGUUCUCAAAAUCAACCACCACUAAAUAUUUCUCUUACCCAACUCAAAUCAGAUCGUAUUGUAGCCGAAAGUCUUUUCCAACAGUUUGAAAAACGUCCAUUUCACACAUCCUGUCUGCUCAGUGCAGUUCUGUUGAAUUUCAUUUAUUUCAUUUAUACCGGGAACAAGAGAAAGUGUAAAACCAGGUACAAAAUCUAUUUUAGGUUCCUGCUCUACUUGCAUAAAACAUAAGCACAAGUCAAUGGCAGCAAUGUUGACAGUGGAAUGGUGUUACUCUUGAUACACCUGAGACAAAUGUGUUUAAUGCAAGAAUAGUCCCAUUGCUGCAGAAUCCUAUUAUUACAGCAUAAUUAGGUGGUUAUCAGACAUAUUAUCCUCAGAGGAGCAUCAAGAUUGGCACAGAUUCAUUUGGCCUGCUAAACUGGACAGAAACAACUGAUCCAAUGAGGUCAGUGAUGGCUUACCUGUAUAUAAGUGUCAGUGCCAUCAAAUCCUCAUUUUCUUGGAAUCAUGGUUUCCAACUGGUGCGUCUCUCAUUAGGCAAGAAUUUUGAAUUUGGUAUCAGCCAACAGCAGUUUUUUUUCCUCACAUUUGGACAAAUAUGAUAGAUCAUUUAGUAAUAACUAAUAUCUGUCUCAAUUAAUUGUUUAGCACUUGCUGAAAUCUUAACACCGUGUACCGUUACAACACUAUGAAAUCAAAAGGCAUGGCCACUCCACAAACAUUUGCCUUUUUAACAAAAUAUUAAAGUUAAUAAAGAAUAAUGAAUAAGAGAAGAAUUUUCCUUAGUCUAUAAACAGUUUAUACAAUUCCAUUUCAUCCAUAAGAGACACAACAUCACAAAGGACUGGACUGGAAUUCUUCAGUGGUGUUCAUUAGCCUCAUGAAAGACCAUCACAUCAUAAGACAAGCAUGAAAUAUCCAAGGUGCAAUCUAAGGAAAUUGAAUUGCUACAGCAAUAUAGUAUGCAACAAUUAGAAUCUUCGCAUAUUCUCAAAAUAUUCAGAUAUCACUUGUCAAAUCAGAUUAACAAUAGGUGUAAGAGAAAACCUUAAACUUGUUGUAGCUUUCAAUCUCUAUGUUAAUUGUCCCCGUGACGAUGAAUGUUGGCCUUUGUGAGUUAGAUGCAAUGUUUGUUGUCUUCUGAUUGAAGUCAGAUUUAACAUUUAUAAUUGAAUACAUUGUCCGUCAAAACUACAAACAGAGAUACACUUUGUAUCUUGUUUAUUUCCUUAAACAAGUAAUGUGUUAAAAGGACAAUAAUGCAUUAUUGAUGCAGGAUGCCUGUAAUGUUCUAGUAAUGUUGAAGGCCUUGAUUAGCUUGUUUAGGCAUGUUCAAUCCGGCCUCUGUAAUGGUAAGUUUGGGACAAUGCCAAGUACGUAUAUAAAAAUAACAAAAUCUUAAAAACAAGUGCCAUAUUAAAAAGAGGGAUGAGUCAAAUGACACCUAGAUUACAGUUUUUAGAGAGCUUUAAUGUUGACUCACAAACCAAGCUUUGUUUUUGUCUAAUUAACAUCAAAAGAUUUUGAGUCGAGUUUCAGGAAGUUACAGCUCAUCCAGUACUUGAUGCCACAGCGAGAUGCAGCAAGGAAACUGAUAGAAGUGGUGUUUCAGAGCCGGUGCUGAAAUCUGAAUGUCAUCAGUUUAGUAGUGAAAGAUGACACCAUGUUGAUAGAUUUUAUCAGCUCAGAGAAACAAAAGUGAAGAAAAUAAAAAAUGUGCCAAGUACUUAACCUUGGGGAACACCUUGUGUAAUUGUGAAGAAAUAGUAGAUUUGUGCUUCCAUUAAAUAACCAUUUGAAUGAUGUAAUAACAUUAGAAACUAAACACACAAGAAAUUACAGCAUUUUGGGAGUAGAUGACCACAUCUCAGUGCCAUCAGUCUUUGAUUUCAGCAUGAUGUUUAAACAAAAUGAUUAUUAGCCAUCUUCAGCACAGCUGCCGUUGCAUAAUCUUGCUUAAACACAAGCAGGAACAUCUGAAAACAUUUGGCCACAAUGACCCAUCUCAGCUACACAGGAAUUACAUAGACUUAACACUGAUGAGAGCACAGCUUAAAAAGUUGACUUGAACAUAUCCACUUCCUUCAAGACAGAGGUCCAUUUCACUAUUUUGUUCUCUA